rnacentral:rRNA from 1 species
AACGAACGCUGGCGGCGUGCUUAACACAUGCAAGUCGAACGCGAAAGGGACUUCGGUCCUGAGUAAAGUGGCGCACGGGUGAGUAACGCGUAGAUAACCUAUCUUCACGUCUGGAAUAAUACGCCGAAAGGGGUACUAAUACCGGAUAUUCUUGCUUUUCAUAAGUUUUACAAGGAAAGGUGGCCUCUGUAUAUGCUACUGCGGGAAGAGGGGUCUGCGUACCAUUAGCUAGUAGGUGGGGUAAUGGCCUAGCUAGGCAACGAUGGUUAGCGGGUCUGAGAGGAUGAUCCGCCACACUGGCACUGGAACACGAGCCAGACUCCUACGGGAGGCAGCAGUGAGGAAUAUUGCGCAAUGGGGGAAACCCUGACGCAGCGACGCCACGUGAGUGAGGAAGGCCUUCGGGUCGUAAAGCUCUGUCAAAGGGAAAGAAGUGCCUGAUGGCUAAUACCUGUCAUGUUUGACGGUACCCUUAAAGGAAGCACCGGCUAACUCCGUGCCAGCAGCCGCGGUAAAAC